CCACAUCACACAAAGGAGAUGGGUUCGCAUAUACAACAAACCAUGGAUAAUCAUAAAUAAUAUAUUGGGUAAUAUCUAAAAACAAAGUUUACAUUAUGCAUACCAAUUAAAAGUAACGGCAAUAUAUAAGAAGAAAUCACACAACAAGCUUUAUAUUACAAGACAUGUAUAACCAUUAAAACAUUAAAAUAUCGGGUAAUCUCCAAAUUCCUUGCACACAAACUUCAUAUAAAGCAGGCAUACAACUAUAAGCAACGCAGACAACAAGCUAUUAGUAGGUAUAAUUCAUUAGAGCAAAGGGAACACAAAACAGAUUACAUACAGAAAUAAAAAUAUUGACGCAUUGACACGUCAAAAUUAAGUUACUACGCCACAUGCAAACAAUGUAUUCAAGACACCCACACAUAAGUUACUACACCACAAAAACAAGGUAUUCAAGACACCCACAUGCAAACAAGGUAUUCAAGUCACCCACACAUAUGUUACUACACCACAUCCGAAAAAGGUAUUCAAGACACCCACGCAUUUAUAUGUCUAUCUCGUAAAGUCAGCAACUUGAAUCGAUUAAAACCAAAAGGUUAAACCACACAUUUAUCAUGUCAUCUCGUAAAAUCAGCGACUUGAAUCGAUUAAAAUAAAAGGUUAAACCAAACAAUUAUCAUGUCAUCCCGUAAAAUCCGCAACUUGAACCAAUUAAAACCAGUGGGUUAAACCACACAUUUAUCAUGCCAUCUCAAAAAAA
rnacentral:lncRNA from 1 species